CACACCAUACAUCUGAGCCACCCGGUUUAUCUGCUGAGCCAUGUGCCCAGCCCUGCACCUAGGGUGCAUUCUUCCUUCAGAACCGGUCUACCUUUUUGUCACUGCCCUGAGUGAAGAUACAAGGUAUCAUGUGCAUGAAAUGAGAUGUUGAAAUCGGAAUAUUCCUCACAGAGCUAAAGAGUCACCAUACUGCUCUCCUGGAUGAAGGACCCCCAGACCUUCCCAGACCUUCUUGUGGAAAAGCAUGUACCGAGCACUGGCAAGACAAGAUGGCAGGAACAUG